CCUAGUAGGCUCACAGCUGCACGUCAGCGGCCGCGACGGCAAGACUAUAGGCACGCAGCUGCCGCUCAAGCACCAGCGGCACAACGCCAACAGCGGUGACGUGAAGGAAGUGAGCGGGCUGGUCCUCUCAACCGCACGAGGCUCCAACCUCAUCAAGUACGAGAUCUCCCUCCCGCAGUCCACGCCCGUCGUGCCCGUCGUGCAAGUGCAGCAGCUGGACUGAGUGACACUGGACACUGAUAAAACGUACGUCUAUACACAAUGAUAGCUCCAUACGUCAUCCGUGCGUGAAUCGUGUCGGGUUGAGCGGAAGAAAGAAGAGCGGAGUGGAACGAGCUCCCUGUCGAGGUUUUCCCGAGGGCCUACAGUAUGGGGUUCUUCAAAGGAGUGUACAGGUUUUUAAAGGGUCGGCCACGCGCAUGUUACUGUCCAUAGGCUACGGUGACUGCUUACCAUCAUCGGUGUAUGCUAUGUAAAAAGAACUUCACUGAACCUACUGUCCGGCCGAGGUUUCGGUUUCAGUUUCGACGGCAUUAAAAUCAUGUUUCGGCCGAAGGUUCGGUUUGGGUUAGAAAACUGCCGGACCUUUCGGCCGCACCGACCCUGUAUUUUUGGUAGUGUCCGACUGAAGUGUCAGUUUCGGCCGGUGAAAGAACGUGACCAGAGGUCGCAUGCGCGAGUGAUUCAGCUUGCCGCUGUUUGAGUUGGUUAAAUACGUGACGACAAAUCAUCACAACAAGCUUUAACUUUGUUGUAAAAUGAACAUUCAGUUAAAUUUAUGACAGGACCAGAACCUGGAUAAAUAGCUUAAUUUAUUAUCAUUUGACAAAUGUACAAUACUAUUUAAUUGUCGCGCAUAUGCGGACCCGAUUUUUUUCAAUGCAAAUAGUUUUUAUGACAUAAAUGAAACUUCAGAAUUCAAAAGGAGACACUGAUUAAUACGUGAAAUCUAUUAAACAAUAAGUUUGAAAUACAACGCCUCAAGGUGUAAUAUAAAACAUGCCUAAUGGAUGAUGGCUGUCGAUGUCGAGAGCUGCUUUUAAGAUGCGUGUUCUAAAAUUUAGAAUAUUAACGUUUUCGAGCGUUUGUAAAAAGACAGGAUAUCACUUAGUUACUGUAAUUAUAGUGUAGACUAUAGCGUAGCUUACCGAUAGUACUGUACAUAUCAAAGUUUUGUAAGCACUGAUCGUGUAAUUAUAUUGUAAAAUCUCUCUGUACGCGUAAGCAUUUAAGUUUUUCGUUUCGUAUAAGUUUGUUAAGUACAUUAUUUUUAUUGUGUUAUUGAGUAAUGGCAGGUUUCAGUUUUAAGUGUAAUUGGAAUUAUUUUUUAGGUCUCUGUUGUUAUUUAAACUUUUAUAUGCAAAAUCAGAUUAAUCCCUUUACAAGUUUUGAUGUUUUUAAAUAAAACUCAUGGAUCUGUGUACAUUGAAACUUGUAAAGCGGUUUAAAUUUAACUUUUAUUUUUGGAUUAUUGUGUAUCUAGUCUGUGAUAGGGAAUGUCUAUUACUGUCUGCAACAACUGAAAAUUUCGUGAAGCAAUACUUUACAAAAUAACUGCCAAACGUGUGAAUAUUGUACAGGUCCACUGGAAGUAGUGUUCAAUACGAUAUAACGCGGCUUAGAGUUGUAUUCAUAAAUUGUGUAGUUUAAAUGUCCAAAAUAAUUUACAUGUGAUUUUUUACCCGAAUUCACAGUAAGUAAUAUUCUAUUCGCUUAUAGUAGAAAUUUACUUGACCUAUUUUUGGCCUAUUAUUUUACAAUUAUUAGUGUUAUUACCCAGUUUGCUAGUAGUUUCAACAGCUGUUAAAAUACAAUUUUAAUUGAACUGUAAUUCAAUAAAAAUGGAUAGGUAUCAAUUAAUGUAGAAUUUUCAAAGACACAAUACAUUGUUUCUUAGAAAAGACCGAGGAUUUAAAAAAUAACAUUCGAAACUGUAACACAGUUCCCUAUUUAAGUGCUUCCAUAUAAAUUGUCAGAACAGAUUGAUCCUAUUUAGUGGUGUAGACAGUAUUAAGUUUUCUAUAAAUUAUAAUUUAUAUCAGUAAACGGCUUAAUCGAAUGGCUUGGUAUGUGGCGUUUGUGGUUUAAACUGGUGUAAAAUUAUCCUAUAUUGUGUACUGUUUAGGCAUUUUUAUUAGUCAGACAAGUAGAGCUGGGGCCCAUUUCUCGAACGGUAUUAGUCUAAUAUUAUUAGUGUGUUGCCAUGGUAACCCAUACGAUUUGACAGCUCGUGGACUAAUAAUAUAAAGGGACCCACUGACUAUCAGUCCGCCGGACGAUAUUGGCCUGUCAGUUGUUCGGAACUGUAAAUUUUUUGUUCUAACUGACAGGUCGAUAUCGUCCGGCGGACUGAUAGUCUGUGGGCCCCUUUAGUCUAAUAUCGUUCGAGAAACGGGCCCCUGGUGUAGUAUACUUACAGCCUAAGUUUGAAUUUUAUAAAAUAACAUUAGAAAUGUUUCUUAUAUAUAUUUAGACUUGAGAUCAUUUAGUAUGAAAAAAAUAAAUAUAGAGGAAUAUCAUGACGUGACUUUGACUGUGCUAACAUAAUACAGUAAUGUUAGGAAUAUCAAAUCUAAUGUAUUAUAGUACAUUGUGCAACAUGGGGCGUAAGUUAAAUAUUGCAAACGAGAGUAUAGUUAAAUCGCGACGGUUUGCCGGAGCGAUUUAUAGACUCGAGUUUGCAAUAUUAUUACGCCCCGAGUUAUAAACAAUGUUUUUCAUCACACUUGCAAUACAAAAAUGAAGUAUAAAGAAAAAAGCGUUUUCCCUAGGGAAAACGCUUUUUCUAUAGUUCCCGCUAACCCUGCGUGCAAUUCCACAUUUACUGAGCGAGUGUGAUGAAAAUAAAAUUAUGCCGAUUAUAGAAGGUAUCAAUUAUGACACAAUUAUUUACUUAUUUAUAGUUUUAGCCACAAACACCAAAUGCCCGGUCAUACGCAUUCUGUAUGUAUUGCAAACUUAUGUUAUUUGCCAUUUACUUACUUGUAAAUAUUACAGUGAAUACCUAUAAUUUUUAUAUUAAAGUGAAAAUAUACAUAACAUAAUUUAAA